rnacentral:tRNA from 1 species
GCCCAGGUGGUGAAAUUGGUAGACACGCCAGGUUGAGGGCCUGGUGACUGUUAAAGGUCGUGCUGGUUCGAGUCCAGUCCUGGGCA